CCCCAGAUGUUGCUGAACUACAACUCCCUGAUUCCCUGGCUAUCUGUUUCAUUGAAAGAAUCAUGGGAGUUGUAGUUCAGCAACAUCUAGGG
rnacentral:miRNA from 1 species